UCUUUGACUCCCUAAAGCAACAAGGUUUAGUCAUCGUGCAGGCUGUUCUUCUUUCAGCUACCGCCUUAUCUCGGCUAAGUUUUGGCUCCGGGUCCCAGCCUUAGUUGAGCUACACCAGAUUGUAUUAGUAACUCCCAACCAUCUAUACCCUGAAUCAUUACUACCAAGAAGUGAGGCUUUAAUUUAAUCCUUAAAACAGAGGUUUGGACGCUAACCACUAGGAGUGAGGGUUUUGGGAUCUAAAAAUUAGGCUUUGAGUCUGAAGGGAGAGGGGUUCUGACAGAGAUGCAUUAUCUAUUCCAUUAAGGAUUAACUAAUGACUAAAAUACAGAUUAACGAAUACAUUGCUUGUCCCCGGACUUAAUGUUCAGUUGGAUGGUAUAGCAGCAUCCAUGUUUGGUUAACUUCAUCACCCUGGUUACAUAUGUAUGCCUAUAAGAAAAUGGAGUUGUAGAGUGUUCUGCUAAGCCAUGAAAAUGAACCAUGUGAGCCUGGCAAAACAGAAUUUGGCGGCCAGAGAAGGGAGCUGAGAGGGAAGCACUUGUGUUAUUACUAUGUCCCUGAGGAAAGCUGAGAUCAAAGCAAACAUCCCACCUCAGAAGAGGCUGAGGACAGGGUGAUAAAGUGUGUAGUCAAGGAGGACAACUAAUUGGAAUGUUGAUAAGAACUAAAAGUGCCCUUUAAGUGAACUGUCCUCUUUAUAGUACUAAAUAUCAUGACCAUAGGCCAGGACUGCUCCCCCCGCCCCCCCAAACAAGCCCCUUACUCUCUGAGCAUGCGUGGUAAAUUUAAAGGGAGCUGUACCGUUGCAUCGAAGUGAGAAAGAAAUUAACCAAUUAUUAGCUAAGGUGUGUGACUAUUAGCUGUGACUGACACAUUUAACUGUAUAAAUGCCUUGGAGUUUCUAGGUGUGGGGUGCUGCUUUGUGGGUUACCACCUCCAGCACCCAUCUUUGUGCAAACACGAAUUAAAUAAAAUACCUCCACUCUGUGUAGUUUGGUGUUUCGCACAUGGAGUGAACAAACCUGCUUUUUGGGAUAACACCUAGAGCAAGCAAUUGCCUGCGGUUUGUGAAGGCACUACAAAAAGACUAACCGUCUUCCAGUGAAGUGUUAUGUUUUUUAUUGCAGGGGUAAAAGGACUGUGGGACAUAGCCCUCUGCGAGAACCUGUGCCUCCCAUGGGGCAGCCAGAGGAGCGUGAAGACUCAUGAGAGGUGGCAGGAGCUGCUGCCUGUGUGCGAGUACCCUUCUCCAUACACAGCCCUGCUGCCAGCAGCCCAUCAUCUUCUUGAAGUGGUGGGAAACUGCUGGUGCAGUGACACUGGUUGAAAUGCUUGUAUUCUUCUGUAAAGUCAGUCUUCUCUGGGUGGAGUUCAUCUUUCACCAAGAGCAAUGCUGGGGCACCUCCCAGUGGUCAAUACCUCCAUCGUGGAGCAGUGAAGCCGAUUCAAACCUUCAGCUGAAAAAUUUACAGCAGGUUUUGUCAAGGAGGGUAGCAUUUGAAACAAUUUAUGAUACAUUUUGCUCUCUCCAAACCAUUCCCUUAAGGUUCACAAAGUAAAUCUGCAGGAUUAUAUUGUUAGAGGCCUCUGCUUAGCAAUGAAAUAAAUGUUUAUAAAUCCAGUAAGACUUUUUUUCUCAAGUCAGUUUUCUGUUUCUUGUAUUUUUAGCGUUUCACUAGAUCUCCAUUACCUUUCCUGGUAAUCUUGAGCUGAUGUUAUAAAGACAGCUGGGCACCAUUCCUUCUUUAUUAGUUAUCUGUGGUAUUUGUGUCUCCGUAGAGAAAUUCCGUUGCUGUAUUUUGCUGUUUUUCCGUGGCUUUGCGUCCACUAGAGGGAAGUAUGCACAAACUGUGCGUUGAUCUUGCCGUUGAACUGCAUCACUGCCAGCAACAGGCACAGAUUUACAAACAAUUAGAGUGCAUUUACUGCAGGUGAAAAGAAUGGAUGAAUGCCAUUUAAGAGCCACUGUUAAUAAGCUAGGAAAUAGAAGGAAUCAGGAUUUAUUUUUAAAAUUAAAAAUAAUUUGCCAAUGUAGUUACAGCUCAACCACAGCAUGAGGUCGCAGCUGAACCUGCAACGUGCUGCCAGCAAGCCUGCAGAUGAGAAAUCAUGGCCAAAGCUGGUUCAUACAGCCAGAAAGGGCUGCUAGAAAUGGGCGACGCUGGCCCAAGGGUAGACAGGAAAGAGGCAAUCAAGGAUCCCAUGGGCAGCACAUGGGUCAUGCACGUUCCAGACAUACGCAUGCUCUGUAUUUAUUAGGCUGUGUUUUAUGAAUAGCUGUGUAUUGACGUGUUAGAGGGUUGUUAAGUGGUUGCUGUUAAAUGGUUUAUUUUAAAGAGAUGGGGUGAAGUGCCUGCUAAUCUGUAUGUGGCAUACAUGGCCAGAUUAACUUUGUGAGUGAGGAUUGAUUUAUUUGUCAAAGGAAAAGAAAAUAUAUGCAGACAUGCACAUAGUUGCAUCCAUCUAUGUAUGUCCAUCUGUCUGUCAGCUUAUUUUCACUAAGUGGAGACAGCAGCAUGCCUCCUGGUGCUUGCAGGCUGCUCGCUGGUUUCACUUCAGUGCAGGUUUUCGUUUGGCUGCAGCCUCGUCUGGCCUCCUUACUGAGCUAAGCGCAGACAAGCUGUCAGCCCCCAUACUGGACAUGGAAAUGGGUGUAGAGAAAAGCUGAAGAACAGCAUAAGCGAGACCAGUGAGAAGGCACUUGCUUUGUUUUCUGUUCUGCUGAAGCAUUAAAUGUGUUGUCUUUCUUUUCCACAGUCUGAAAUUUUAUGUGUGUGUGACUAGGCAGGAUGGGUGGCCCUUAGGAUCCCUUACAAGGUUUGCAGGCAGUGGAAAUGGCUGUUUGGUACCUUUCUGCUAAAUCAAUAAGACAGUAUUUCCUCAUAAAUAUAACUUCUUUGAGAGUGACCAUGCCUGUGUAAGUUCGAACUAGUUUGGGUUUGUUCAAAUUUGACAUUAUUCAGCUGUGAGCUCUACUGUACACUGGCAGCAGGUGAAAAAUGAGCAAGACAGCAGUCCUGCAAAUCACUGUAAAAUUUUGUUGGCUAUUUUUUUGUAUUUUACUAAGAAACACCAAAUUGCCUGUCCACAGCACAGUGUACAUAGCAGAGCACUCUCACGCCUCUCUUAGGAGACUUUCUCAUAGUUCCAUCACAAACGUAACAUGCUUGGGAGAUUUGAGACAAGAGGAUUGAAAAUCUGGACCACUGGAUCCUGUAGCAUCUUUCGUAACUUGGGAUGAAAUCUCCUGGAAUAUUGUGAUUUGAACCAUUUGAUGUUAGUAACUAAAGAGGAACAUGUGUGAAUCAUCUCGCCUUCAAAGAGGCUUUGGUUUUAUUGUUGGUUUUUUUUGGUUCACUCAUUAUUGUAUCAAAUAGCAUGAUUCGAGGCCUGACUCGGCAUUCUUCGGUCCACAUCUAUGAGUUGUCCUCUUAGAUCACGACAGUACAUCUGAAAGAAGCAUGUCUUGGGAAGACAGCAGUCUGGGUGGGCCGACGCAAAAAAUGCCAGUGGUUAAAUGCCAGGCAGGGCCUGUGACACAGGUUCAGGGGAGUGAAAACUGCAAAAGAGCAAGAAGGAUGCGGCAGUAAGAAAUCAUAAAGGAACACUGAGGGGAAAAAAGUCUGCCUGCAAAGCCCAGGAUUCACAGCUGUGUUGCACCUUGUUUACAAAAGGGAGAUGAUGCAGAUGCAUUUUUGGAGUCCAAAGAAAGAGUGUGGUAAAUUGGAAAAGGGAUAUAAAGGCACCUAGACACAUUUUCAAGAUUUGCCACUAACUUUGGUAUUAGUAUUUUAUCUUUGCAUUCUUGAAUGGUUUGGGUUUAAAAAAAUAUUCUGGCUUGAAGGAGGGAAGUCAGCCUCCAAAUAUGUGUGUAUGUAUAUGUAUAUGUAUAUAUAAAUACAAGUAUCUCCAUAUUUCAUUAUACAAAUUUAGCUAGCUAGGUAGUCUCAUCAGCAUAUGGGCCUUUUUAGACUUUAAAAAUAGAAUUACUAUUUUUAAUGUGAUAUUCAUUGGUAUUCAUGAGGUGCAUACACUGAUAAUUCUGCCAUGCCCCUAAUGCCAAAUAACCGACACUAUAACUGAGAGGAAAUCCUGCUUCAGAAAGCAGAGCUACAAAACCAGAAUGAGAGCUAAGACAGGUACUUUGAUAAACGCAUGGAAGAAAACUUAGGGAAAACAUUUUCAUUUCAAACGGGAAUACACAUGUGCACAAACUGAACUAAUAUUAACUGACAUCAAUAAUCAAGGUUUUUUUCCCUUUGUCUAAGAAACUUUUGGAUCUGUCUGAGUUCCCAGGAAAAUGGGUGGAUGAACAAAGUAUGUUCAUUACUCUUCAUUACUGAUAAACUUAGUAUUAUAACAUAACUGUUAUUUUCUCAUUAUGAGCCCAGUCUUCUUCUGUAAUAAUUUAUACUGAGUGAUUAUAAAUGUGGUGUCAAUCAGCAACAAUAUUCAUUAGAUGACUGUAUGUUUGUGCCCUCUUGGAUGACUCGACUCAGUAGGACUUCUCUACUAUACAUAGUGCACGUCUAUGUAUGCCAUUUCUUCAGGCAUCUUUGCAGGCAAAAGAAAUGGCUAUUUAAAGUCUUCAAUCUUUUAAUUAAGCCUUAAGCUGAAAGUAAACUGUAAAAAACAUUACAGUGGAGAGAUGAACAUUAAUUAUUUCAGGUCUUAAAUUACAUUCCAACAAAUCUUACCAGUAAAGUAAUUCUGCAUAUAAAUAUUAGCUGUAACUCAUUCUCCAUGUUAUCUGCUGCCUUUUCUUGAUAUUUCCAGAUAAAAAAUAGAUAAGGUAUGUUCAGGUGUGCAGUAGUCUUGUAAGAAUGAUAGUUUCAUGAACUUUUAAAGUCUGUCAGGUCAGUUUUUGUUAGAACAGCGAAUGAUUUUAGGUGUAGGGUGUCACGAGUGAAAUUACAACUGUCAUAGCUACAGGCUUGGGUCUUAAGCUUUUAAAUCAGGCUUCAGAAAACAAAUCAGUUUAAUGCAUGUAUUCCCACCUACCAAAGUCUUCAUUACAGGGAGCCCUCUUAGCUAGGCAUGAAUUUUGUUUGUUCUUUCCAUGAGUUAUGUGGACACCAGUGCAUUGAAUAAAGCCAAAAUUCAAAGAUACCACAGUAGGUCAGUCUUCAACCACUCUGAUGCUGCUGUGGCACGUUAUGUUUUAUUUCUUGCGAAAAAAAGCGUUACAGUAAAUCUGCCACUGUCUUGCUGCUUUUCUGUACUAACAGCUCAUAUUCUUUGUGAAGGCAUAAGUGUGUGUUUCUCUUUCUUUGCAUCUGCUGUCAUGAAGCGUCCCUUGCCUCCUCCUGAGGCAGCCCCACGCCUGCUACCCUGUGCCCUGGGCUUGGGUCUCCUGCCUCCCUCACCUUCGUCCAGCCUCCAACCCUGCUCCUGGCUUGACUUUUACAUUUGAGCCACCCUUUGACUUUCCAGUUUGUUGGUAAUGCUUCUUAGCCAGGCCAUGGGCUUGUUGCAAGAGCUGUGUUUUCUCAGUGUCAAUCACUGUGUGCAUUAACUUCAACACAGCUCCAAACCCAGUUCAGGCUUGGCACACAUAAUUUGGCUUAUGUGUCCAAGCUUGAAUCUCUCAAUAUAUAUAAUUAAGCUCCUGACUGGCUGAGAAUCACCUAACGUCUGUUUUCCUUGCCUCUUCUCUUCUUCUGUGUCUUCAGCCUAUAUUCCUCUCAUCCAAAGUUCUUUCUCUUCCUCUACCCUGUAGAUGCCUCGAAAAAGGUCUGUCAUUAAUACUAACAAUUUGGUAGUGCACAGGUCAAAGGAUCUGCACCUUUCUGAGAGUCUUUGGUUCCCUUAUGGCGCAAAUACAAAACAACACAGUUUAUUCCCAUCAACCCAGCCAUUUAGACAAGGUAUUUAUUGUUAGAGCAAUAUUUGUAUGGCAGUUUCAACACAGAAGAAUGUGUUCACUCUUGUAUAGAGGCACCUCUUGCAAAGUCAAUGUCCAUUUCCUGGUGGAGCUGAGAAUACAGUGCCACUUUUUGCUUGUCCUGUAAUGGUAAAUUCUGCUCCAGUUCUCACCCUGCAUGAACUGCCUGAUGGACCACUGGUGGGCUUUGAUGGAGGAUGACCUGAGCGUUUACUUUUGCUGAUCCCUUGUCACUGAUGUAUUUGUCAAGAAGAUUAUAAAAGUACUUGAGGCAAGGUAUGUAGCUCUUCUUGGAGUACUUAAUCAAAAAAAUUCCAAAGAUUUAUAGAGAAUUAGUAUCUGAAUCUAUCAGGAAAGAGUUUUAUUGGCAGAAGAGGAUCUCAGCAAUGCAGAAUUGGUGGCAUGGGGAAACUAAAUAUGAGAAGGCAAGAAGAAACAUCAUAUGUCUAGGGUUAGUGCAGCAAACCUGGUUUUUAAUCUUUGAUAUCUUCUUAUUGGAUCGUAGUCUGUACGAUUCUCUCUUUUUUUGUUUGACAGCCUUUCAGGUUGCUUAUUUCCUGCUGCAGCCAUUCACCAGAGCAUGUCCUCCGCGAACAGUGCAGCUUCAGCGUUGCUGCCUUUAAGCUGUCAUUGAAGGCUUACAGGAACAGACCUCCCCCACACCUCCCCACAUCCCCACAUCCCCCCAGCCCUGGGAUGUACUCAGCUUGGAGAUAAACAUGGUCCAAGCAGAGAGCAAACUGGUCUGAGGACUGUAAUGAUGGAGUGGGACUGAGUAAAGAUGUCCAGCGUAAUGUUAGUAGAUAUGUGACUGUCACAUGUGACUGACAAACGCAGUUCUCUCAACUUCACAUAAUACAUCAUGCCUCAGCCCCCCUGACAGUCUUGGUGGCCCUGUCCAGGACGUUGCAGUUUGUCACUGUCUUUCCUGGACAUGGUUCUUCAGCUGAAGUUCCACAUGUACCAAAUGGAGGGGUUAUAAUCAUACCCCUCAAGCCGUUGACGACACUCAACAUUUAAUGCAGCCUGGUAUGGUCAUACUGCUGACUCAUGUUCAACUUGCUGUCUACCAGGACCCUUAGUCCUUGCAAAGCUGCUUUCCCCCCACUUGUCUCCCAGCUUGUGCUGUUGCAUGGAGUUGCUGCAUCCCAGGUGCCUCUGCCCCUGUUGAACUUCAUGAGAUUUCUGUCAGCCCAUUUCUACAGUCAAAUGCGCUCUCAAGAGCAACCCUCUCUCCAGUUUACAAGGUACUCCCUUUUAUUUAGCACCAGCAGUGACUGGCUGACUCUGUAAUGCACCCUGUCAUCCAGGUCAUUAUUAAAGGUAUUAAAGCAGUAUCAUCAGCUCCCAUAUCAACCCCUCAGGAAUGCUAUUUUUAAAUGGCUGCCAGCUGGACUUCCUACCACUGCCUACCAGCAGCUUGCAAGUCAGCAGGAAAAAAGCAAGUGGAGUCUAUAAUCUGAGCACAUUUGGCCUCCAGUCGAGUUUUGUGUUUGACUGUUUUGGAGGUCUAACAGUGAAGUCUUUCCAGUUUUACUUGUUUGCCUUCUACGUGAAAUCAGCAGGAGUCUCUUUCCCUUCCCCAGAAUUACUAUUAUUAACCACCAUUUAGAAAGUCGGUGGCAAAAUAUUAGAGAAUGUACACAGCAUAGAUGAGGAAGAAACAGCAAUCAUAUGGAAGAUCCAGCCUACUUCAUAUACAACAGCUCUCCUUCUGAGCAAAAGCACACCAUGCUGCUGGUUUCCCAGAGCUCCUAAGUCACCAUCUAGCUCUCAACUUCCAAUUGUGAUUUUUAAAGUGUGUAAUUUGUUAUGGCCUAGCUAUCCAGUCACAGCUCUUCAGAUAUGACUUGCUGAAAAACCUUCUCAAGGCACUUUGCACCAGGCUGGGACUGUACAGCAGAUGUCAGCAAGAGGUUUCUGAUGGAGGAUGCUUUGUUAGGGGAGUUCCUGCCACCUGAAUUAAACUAGGACUAACACAUAUGUUCUCAAUGUUUUCUCAGAGCUUACACUACAUGAGUUUUAUAAACUAAACUAGCAUUGCUCAAGGUGCUGCAACGGGCUCCAAAGCACCAGUCAGGACACUACUGAACUGCAUGUCCUGGACAUACCCCUACAUACAGUAGCCAUGGGUGCCUCAGCAGUGUCACUUUGCUGUUCACACAGACCUGAAACAUUUUCUGCUGAUACUACUCCCCACUCGACAGCAACACAGCACAUUCAUCAGGGUAUAUUUUGACUAUUUUGGUUUUUUCGUGAGAACUGGUGUUUUGAGUGUGGUUACAGUGAACCACUGAAUAUGUUUCAAUAUGCAAAAAAGAAGCAAUCAGUGGGACUGUUAGCAUCUGCUAGUGUUUCUUCCCACCAAGCUGCUCACCACAUGGAAUAGUGGUGAGCAUGGAUGCCUGUGGUGGAAGAGUGGUGAUGCCUGGAUGGAAGAGUGGUGAGCACCUCAGACGCCCAAGGGAAACAGCUGAGAAGUGACGUGGUGAGUUCUGUAGGAGUGAAAAAAUCUGGGUGUUUGGGGUGACAUGGUAAAGAAUUUUGUGUGCAGACCAGUCCUGGACAGAGAAGAGACAGCUCCUUUGCAGAGACACCACUGAAUUCCCGAUGACAGGUCAAGUGGCAGACUUCAGAGGCUGAAUGCACAUGCAGCUGCCAACUCCAGUUAAUUGUUGAACUCACCAUGGUGUUCAGCGGUUGCUGAAAAAGCAAGGAGCACUUCACAGCACCUACCCCUCAUGCUGGUAGAUUUCAGCUGCCUGGACAGUCACUGGAAAGAAGUGCAUCUGUGAAUAAAAGUAGGGUGCUCGUAGGAGACUUCCUAAGUGUGGCCAUAAGUGCAAAUGCAGCUUAGAAUUAAGGAUCUGUGCUUUUGCAUUACUCAGGUAGUACUUUUCUUAUCACCAACCAAGAAAGGAAAGGAAACAGUCCCCAAAAAAGAGUGUACUGUGGUGGUUGUAUUGGGUGCAUCCUAGUAAACCUGCACGAAGACUAACUUCUGCCAGGGCAGCCAGGCAUCAAAGGAGACAUCAGGUAUCAGGUAGUGUUUUAUUACACAAGAUUUUUGUACAGAGAUAUACAGAGGUGCCUUUCUGUCAGAGUGGCAGUCAUAUUUUCUACCAGUUGCUCGCCAUCAGCAGUAAGAUCACUUCCUGCCAAACUGAGGCAACGGUGGUGGCACUUUGAUGUCUUGACCUCUUUCCAGUUUCUUCUCACAGUCAACUAGGUAAUUGACCCCAUCAAUGACAAUCUGGACUAGCUCCACCUACAGCAACAAGAAGAAAAUAGUAUUAGUAGAAUCUUUAGCUAAUGGUGUUAAUAGAGGAAGGGAAAAUUGGCUUGUACUGGAAUGACGGCAGGUAAAGCUAUAAGUAAGGAGUGUCAUGGAAUAGACACCACACUGCCUGUGGCACAGGGAGUAUGGGUCAUGCUGGUCCAGUGGAAACCGAUAGUAAUUCCCUUCUCCUAUUUGCCCUGAGUUUGGGCCGCCAGCAACAGAAACUUUCAAAUAGGUCCCUAAAGUUAUUUCCACCAAAUUCUGCUCCUACUCAUAUGACUGUAGGAAUAAAGCAAACAAACAAAAGUCCUUACAGAAAAUGUUUAGUCAUGAGUUGAGAGACCUAUUUCAAAUGUGACCACUUGAGGGUGCAGGGUCCUCCCCAGAUGUUUGCUGAAAAGUAACGCAUGGCACAGCAGGGGUCCCUGUCUGUUGUGUUUGGCAUGCUCGUAUACAAGGAUGAAGAAACCAGAACAGCCAUGCUGUGAGUGCUCAGUAUCACCAGGCAGCUCACACUGAAUGCCAUUGCUGUGUCGUCGCAGCUCCCAAGCCUGAACUGCCCGUGUGCUUGCAGAAGCAUUUAUGUGAGCACAGUCAGACAGAAACUAACUGGGACAGUGGCACAAGGAGAGGAGGACAGAGGCUCAUUGCCCUGACUCUCACCAGCCCUGAAUGCUGCUGGAGGCAUGGGCUAAGUCCAUCACAUGGCUGGGACUGGGAGGGGGGCAGGACUACCUGUUUGGUUACAGCCAUUUAGACUGCCUGAGAAAGCUUGUCUAACCAGAGUCUUGUACUUCUUCACAGGCAUGGGCAUGGCUCAGGACCAUAUGUUCCCCUGCAGGUGACCAUGAACCCUGUGCAAUGGUUUGUCAGCUGUGGGACCAGCUGUAUUGGGAAAUCAGAGGUCUGAAUUUGCAGCCUCAAGAAGGAAAAGAAUUUCAUAUUAAGUUUACAUUGACCAGCAGUUGAAACAAAGCAAAAAUACAAACAGUUUUGUCUCACACCUUUGGGACCAUAAUUCAGUUCUGCAAACACAUUUACCACACAAUGGAAUUUAUUUUAUUACGUACUGAAAAAAUAUGUCUUAUAAUAAAACAUUUUUAUCCCCUUGAGUUUUCUUUCUUAUUUAGAUUUCGAAAUCUUCAAGGUAUGGAUUGCAUCUUAUCUA